rnacentral:lncRNA from 1 species
UGCCUGAGUUGGAAAUGAGUCCCUCUGCUAUGCAUCCCAGCAAAAGGGCACCUUAAAUAUCUAACUCGGGAGAGUACGAGGUUAUUCCUGGAGUCUGGAACAGUGACUAUCAUAGGUGCUCAAUAACCGUUUAGGGAAGAAUAACAUCCCAGUGAAGUCAAGAGGUUGGCGUAAUUGGAACACUCGGCGUGAGGCGCACCAGGUUUCCAGCGCCCCUGGUUUCCACGUCGCUAUGGUGAUUGGCCCGCGGCUCAGGGAGGCGACCAAUGAGUGCUCUCGCGGAGAGCGACGAGGCCAAUAUGGCUUCCUGCACCUGGUGACGCUUGGCGAAACUGAGGUCUCAUGGAGAAGCCCCCGAGUAUUGAGGUGA